GUACAAAAUGGUAUAGUUUAAUGGUAAAACACCAGUUUACUGGCAUUGUGAGUUCGAAUCUCACUACCGUACA
rnacentral:tRNA from 1 species